rnacentral:rRNA from 1 species
UACGAAGGGGGCUAGCGUUGCUCGGAAUGACUGGGCGUAAAGGGCGCGUAGGCGGUUUGGUUAGUUCGGCGUGAAAUUCCUGGGCUCAACCUGGGGGCUGCGCUUAAUACAGCCAGACUAGAGUGUGAAAGAGGGUCGUGGAAUUCCCAGUGUAGAGGUGAAAUUCGUAGAUAUUGGGAAGAACACCGGUGGCGAAGGCGGCGACCUGGUUCAUUACUGACGCUGAGGCGCGAAAGCGUGGGGAGCAAACAGG